rnacentral:rRNA from 1 species
UACGAAGGGUGCAAGCGUUACUCGGAAUUACUGGGCGUAAAGCGUGCGUAGGUGGUUCGUUAAGUCUGUCGUGAAAGCCCCGGGCUCAACCUGGGAAUGGCGAUGGAUACUGGCGGGCUAGAGUGCGGUAGAGGAGAAUGGAAUUCCCGGUGUAGCGGUGAAAUGCGCAGAUAUCGGGAGGAACACCGGUGGCGAAGGCGGUUCUCUGGGCCUUACCUGACGCUGAGGAGCGAAAGCGUGGGGAGCGAACAGG